rnacentral:rRNA from 1 species
AAACUAACUAGGAUUCCCCUAGUAACGGCGAGUGAACCGGGAUGAGCUCAAAUUUAAAAUCUGGCGUCUUUCAGGCGUCCGAGUUGUAAUCUAUAGAGGCGUUUUCCGCGCCGGACCGCGUCCAAGUCUCUUGGAAUAGAGUAUCAAAGAGGGUGACAAUCCCGUACUUGACGCGACAACCGGUGCUCUGUGAUACGUUCUCAAUGAGUCGAGUUGUUUGGGAAUGCAGCUCUAAAUGGGUGGUAAAUUCCAUCUAAGGCUAAAUAUUGGCGAGAGACCGAUAGCGAACAAGUACCGUGAGGGAAAGAUGAAAAGCACUUUGGAAAGAGAGUUAAACAGCACGUGAAAUUGUUAAAAGGGAAACGAUUGAAGUCAGUCGUGUGAAAGGUAUUCAGCCGUCUCUGGCGGUGUAUUUGCCUUUCACGGGUCAACAUCAGUUUGAUCCGGUAGAAAAAGGCGGGAGGAAGGUGGCACCCUCGGGUGUGUUAUAGCCUCCUGUCAUAUGUGCCGGACCAGACUGAGGAACGCAGCUUGCCGCAAGGCCGGGGUUCGCCCACGUACAAGCUUAGGAUGUUGACA